rnacentral:rRNA from 1 species
CGGGACGGGUGAGUAAUGUCUGGGAAACUGCCUGAUGGAGGGGGAUAACUACUGGAAACGGUAGCUAAUACCGCAUAACGUCGCAAGACCAAAGAGGGGGGAACCUUUCGGGCCUCUUGCCAUCGGAUGUGCCCAGAUGGGAUUAGCUAGUAGGUGGGGUAACGGCUCACCUAGGCGACGAUCCCUAGCUGGUCUGAGAGGAUGACCAGCCACACUGGAACUGAGACACGGUCCAG